rnacentral:misc_RNA from 1 species
CACAGAAGGUUUAACAGGAGC